UUGUUUCUCACCCUAAAUCGAAAACGUUCUUCACCCCAAAAUUAAAAAUGUUCUUCACGCUGAAAUCGAAAAUCGUUCUUCACCUCGAAAUCGAGAAUCGUUCUUCACACUGAAAUCGAGAAUCAUUUUUCACCCUCAAAUUGAAAAUGUUCAAUCGCUCACACAAAUCGUUGACAAAAAUGUGAGAUUCCCUUUUCAUCUUUCAUUCACUGUAUAGAGUAAGUUGGGGAUUUAGAACCAAAAACUGAUCUGAGUUUCAUAUCUUCAAAUUCAGGCAAUUGAAGCAGCAAUUGAACUCAAUCUUAAAACAGUAGAAGCAGGAGCUCAGGGUGAACAUAAGAUUGAGCGUGGGUAUCUUCCUGUGACAACAUAUAGCUGCCAUUACCUUGUUGAUGAAGAAUUUAGCGUGGGUAUUCUUCUUAUCUCCAAGGUUUCUUCCACAAAAUCCAACUCUGCAAUCGUGCUUCUGACAAACAAUCUGAAUUCGUUCCGUUUAUCGUUGAGGGACGUGAUGUUGGAUUCAUUCACAAUCGGUUUGUUGAACAUUUGCGAGGCUUCAACGACGUGUUUGUUUUUCCCGAAGGCGAAGGCCCCUUUGGUUGUCAUGUUACAUUGCAUCCGUUACUGAAGACGGAUGAAGAAAGAACCAGCGCGGUUGGUUAUGUAAUCAAGCAUUUGGGAGAGGAGCACAUUCCAGGUAUACGAAACGAGCUAUACCCUGUGAAAUCCUCGUUUAGCGCGUCGGCUUUCUUCUCAUUAGAACGUGCUGCUGCUCCUUAUUUUGGCAUAAAGGUACUACUUCGUUGUCAAAUUAAAAAUGACAAUCUAACUUGCAUAUAUUUUACGGAUAAGUUCUGUCUGCCUAGUCAGCUCUUAAUGGCAACUCGUUGCAGCCCCGGAGCAGAAUCACCAUACUGUUCCCACCAAAGCCCUGCAUGUCACAAGCAAUUAGUUUGAAGAAUAAAUAACAAUUAACCCAAAUGAAACAAAACGGAUGGAGUACUAUUUAAAACUUACAUGGUGCAACUGUGUUUCUUGCUUCCUUUGCUAGGCUACAACCGAACAUUCUGUGUGCCUUUGUAAACGUAUAGAUUUGAUUGGUCAUGUCGCGCCUCAUAUCUGGUACAGGAAGCAACUUCUCGAGAACAUUAUAGAAGUCUUCUUUUAUAGACGAGAGAAAUUUGAUUUGUUUGUUAACUAUAUCUAAGAAUGUCUUGCAUUUAUUCUCAUCCAUUAUGUCGUAUGUUCUGAUAGAUUCUUUGGCCCUAAUCAUUAGUUCAUAUAUCGAACCUACCGUUGGUUUCCCUUCGGAUACUUCUCUUAACACCUUCAAAGCUGUUGUGACAGUGACACUGAGGAAGAAGUUUGGGUUACUGGAGUCUGGAACUGAGUGCAGUCACAUGCAACUUGGGUUUGUUUAAGGAUGUUAAUGACUUUAAGUUAUUUCUUUAAUUGGAAAUAAGUUUUUUAUAUAAGUUAUAAUUUUCACGGUUGCUCAUAUAAUUGGAAUCUAGUGACAUGAUAUGGUUUUUGCAACUUGGGUGUUAUAAGCAAGUUUAAUCAUAGAUUUUAUGGAAAACAAUUAAAGUUGUAUUUGGUUAGGGUAUUUUUAUGUGAUAAAGUUUGAAGUUUUGUGGAUUUCACAGUGAUGUUGUUUUUAUGAUUUAAGUACUAGAAUGCAAAUUUUGAAAGGUGUGCUAACUAGGAGAGUUGAGAAACCCUUGUUUUUUACACUUGUUAUUAUUUUGAUACUAAUUGAUUUAUGAGAAAGCUUGAUGAUAAAAAUUACACAUUGUUUGUCAACACUGAUUUAUGUGUUUGAUUUUUCAAUGUUUCUGCUUCUGUGUAAAUCAGAUUUGACUUGGUUAUAACUGUGAAUGGAAAGAAGGAGAAAAUUGCUUCAGGUUUGCUCAAUCCAUUUCUUUCUCACUUGAAAGCGGCUCAAGAUCAAAUGGACAAGGGUGGUUAUUCAAUUGUUCUUGAGCCGGAUGAUGGAAGUGAUUCCACAUGGUUUACCAAAGGAACUCUUGAAAGGUUUGUACGCUUUGUAAACACUCCUGAGAUAUUGGAAUGUGUGUAUACUACAGAAGCUGAAAUCUUACAAAUCGAAGAGGCAAUUGCAAUUCAAGGAAAUAACUCGAUAGGGAUUAGCACUGCAGGAAGACUCAACAUGAUACGAACGAGGAGAAAGCGAUUGUACUUGAGUUGAUUUGAUAACAGAUGGAUUGUGUCUGGGAAGGAAGAAUAUAAUGGAAAAAUUUAGAUGCAGAUACAUGGAAGUGAAGAUAGCAGGACUUUCAAAGUUAUGGAUACAUCAACAUACAAAUAUAAGAAAAGGAUUUUUAUUUUAUUUUAUUUUAUGUGAAAAUUCAAAUAUAGAAAAUAAUAAUAUGGAGUUGGAUAUAUACUAAGAUGUUAAGGGUAUGAUUUAUUUUGUAAUUAGUUUUUAUCAAUAUUAUAUGAAAUCAAUCUUUCUAUAUUGAACUAUUUGACUUUAUUUAAUAGAAAAUGGUAUAAUAGUUUAAUUUUAGUUAUUUAGCUUUGUCAUGGUUCAAAAUGUAAUGGAAAAUAUUUUA